UGCCGGCCUGCAGCCUACACAUGCAAGUCGAGCGGAACGAGUUAUCUGAACCUUCGGGGAACGAUAACGGCGUCGAGCGGCGGACGGGUGAGUAAUGCCUAGGAAAUUGCCCUGAUGUGGGGGAUAACCAUUGGAAACGAUGGCUAAUACCGCAUGAUGCCUACGGGCCAAAGAGGGGGACCUUCGGGCCUCUCGCGUCAGGAUAUGCCUAGGUGGGAUUAGCUAGUUGGUGAGGUAAGGGCUCACCAAGGCGACGAUCCCUAGCUGGUCUGAGAGGAUGAUCAGCCACACUGGAACUGAGACACGGUCCAGACUCCUACGGGAGGCAGCAGUGGGGAAUAUUGCACAAUGGGCGCAAGCCUGAUGCAGCCAUGCCGCGUGUAUGAAGAAGGCCUUCGGGUUGUAAAGUACUUUCAGUCGUGAGGAAGGCGGCGUCGUUAAUAGCGGCGUUGUUUGACGUUAGCGACAGAAGAAGCACCGGCUAACUCCGUGCCAGCAGCCGCGGUAAUACGGAGGGUGCGAGCGUUAAUCGGAAUUACUGGGCGUAAAGCGCAUGCAGGUGGUUUGUUAAGUCAGAUGUGAAAGCCCGGGGCUCAACCUCGGAAUAGCAUUUGAAACUGGCAGACUAGAAGUACUGUACAGGGGGGUAGACUUUCAGGUGUAACGGUGAAAUGCCU
rnacentral:rRNA from 1 species